AGUCGAARCUAAUUAUACAUAAAAAAAGCAGUUAAAUACCUAAUCAAAUUAUAAUCAAAUUAUAAGUUAAAGAAUAACUACACUUACUAUUCAAAUAAAUGAAUAAUCAAAUCAAUUUUUCUUUUCAUUUAUUAUUUUAACCUCUGAUUUUUCUUACCUUUUUACCGCGUAAGCGAAAGAUUAGCUUUUUUAAGGUUAAGAAUAUUUCUUUAGUUUAUUUAACCUAUUAAAGUUAGAAUUAAAAAUAAAAUACUCCUUACUACUAACCCCUACCCUUCCUCCCUAUGGAGGAUAAAGUAGGCAAAAAAGUAGUCAAUAAAUAAAUUAAUAGAAAUAGAAAUAUAAGUAAUAA
rnacentral:rRNA from 1 species